rnacentral:rRNA from 1 species
AAAUUGAAGAGUUUGAUCAUGGCUCAGAUUGAACGCUGGCGGCAGGCCUAACACAUGCAAGUCGAACGGUAACAGGAAGCAGCUUGCUGCUUCGCUGACGAGUGGCGGACGGGUGAGUAAUGUCUGGGAAGCUGCCUGAUGGAGGGGGGUAACUACUGGAAACGGUAGCUAAUACCGCAUAAUGUCGCAAGACCAAAGAGGGGGACCUUCGGGCCUCUUGCCAUCGGAUGUGCCCAGAUGGGAUUAGCUUGUUGGUGGGGUAACGGCUCACC